AUUGAACGCUGGCGGCGUGCUUUACACAUGCAAGUCGAACGGCAGCAUGACUAGCAAUAGUUGAUGGCGAGUGGCGGACGGGUGAGUAAUACAUCGAGACAUGCCUUAUAGUUGGGGAUAACUCAUCGAAAGAUGAGCUAAUACCGAAUAAUCUCUGAGGUAGAAAGUGGGGGACCUUCGGGCCUCACGCUAUUCGAGCGGCCGACGUCUGAUUAGCCAGUAGGUGAGGUAAGAGCUCACCUAGGCGACGAUCAGUAGCGGGUCCGAGAGGAUGAUCCGCCACACUGGGACUGAGACACGGCCCAGACUCCUACGGGAGGCAGCAGUGGGGAAUUUUGGACAAUGGGCGCAAGCCUGAUCCAGCCAUGCCGCGUGUCUGAAGAAGGCCUUCGGGUUGUAAAGGACUUUUGUCAGGGAGGAAAUCCUAGUGGCUAAUAACUGCUAGGGAUGACAGUACCUGAAGAAUAAGCACCGGCUAACUACGUGCCAGCCGCCGCCGUAACAC
rnacentral:rRNA from 1 species